ACAUUAAAAAUGAAAAAAAUUGUUCAGGUUUAGAGAUAAAAAAAGAAACUUGCUUGUUUUUAAUUAUUCAAUCUUUGUGAUGGCUUGCCGCGUUGAUCACCAGAUGGCGUACCUACAUUCAAUGUGUUGUUUAUGACUAAUCAAAGUGGAAAUUACAUUCUCACAAUAUAUAAACUCUGAUAGUUGCACUCAUACGCACAUUCGUUAAUACAGUUUUAAUGUAAACUGCCUAUAAUCGAUUUAUAAACAAUAUUUCUUGAAACAAUUAAAUUGUUAAAAAUGAGGUUCAGUGCUUGUUUUGUUUUUUCAUUACUUGUCUUCAUUGUCAUGACUUUUGGAACAGGUGUUGAAGCGCUGAACAAGAGGAUAGACCGAUGUACCAUAGACUGCACACAGAGAUGCCAAAUGAAGGGAAGACCAACAGGGAGAUGCUUACGACGAAAUAUUUGUCUUUGCACCAAUUCAAUAGAACCAUGAGACUAUAUUGAGUUACAUAUUUGCACUUCUAUCAAGCUUAGAAGGAGAUCUAUCACCAUACCACAUGGCGUACUUUGGAUCCUGACAUCGAUCAAUAUAAAAUGAUAUAAACUACACAGUUUGAUUACUCAAAACUUGAUGAUGUUGGAAGUAUAUUGAAAUGGAGAAAAACAAAAUCGGAAAGCAAAACCCAGGCUCAAAAGUAGCUGAGGAUGAACCGCGUUGAUGACAAAACGCUAAGAUCUGGGACUUAAAUAAGCCGCUGAAAAGGAAACAUGUUCUUGGGGCUUUAGCUCGGAAAUGAUGCUUGUGUGGUGUUUCUCCUCAGGCAAUGAUGUACUUUCCAUAGUGCCUUGUAUGUUAGCUUGCUUGUCCUUCCACUUGCUCAUUGGAGGAUCCGUAUGACGCCUCCGUGAAUGAUGUAACGUUGUGGUGAAGGUUUUCGAAAAAUUAUAUAGGUGUAAUACUAGAAUUUACACGCCGAGAAGAAUGUACAAAGAUGUUGGAAUAUGACAGUUUUUUCAGGUUGACUUUGUAAUCACCUGCGAACUUUUAAUUUAUACAAUUUAAUUAAUUUAUGUAAAUAAAAUUUUGUACCAAUUACGAUUUUCCAAUUAGUUAUAUUGUUUAGUUGUACUUUUUAUGAACUAGCUGUUUGUAAUUCAUCAACUAGCUGUUUGUAAAACAUCAUUUUCAGCUAUGUAAUUUAGUUGGGUCGUGUGGUUCCCGGUCUAAAAAAUGGGCCGUGGGUUUUCGACACUUUACAAUAGGUCCAUCACUAUCUCAUGGAUGUCAUGUCAUAAAAGACGACUUAGGGAAGAUGCACACAUUAAUAAAAAACAUAGUAUGUUGUUAGCAUGUGCAGAUUGUAGAAGUCAUUAAAUGUUAUACAACUAAAGAUUGAUAUAGAAGUACAAAAGAGAAAUAUUGUUAAGUACUUAAUUGCCACUUAGUUUAACUAGUCUGACAAUAAACUUAAAGUCAUA